rnacentral:rRNA from 1 species
UACGUAGGGACCGAGCGUUGUCCGGAUUCAUUGGGCGUAAAGAGCUCGUAGGCGGUUGGGUAAGUCGGGUGUGAAAACUCCAGGCUCAACUUGGAGAUGCCACCCGAUACUGCUCUGACUUGAGUUCGGUAGGGGAGUGGGGAAUUCCUGGUGUAGCGGUGAAAUGCGCAGAUAUCAGGAGGAACACCGGUGGCGAAGGCGCCACUCUGGGCCGAAACUGACGCUGAGGAGCGAAAGCAUGGGGAGCGAACAGG